GGCAAGAUGGCCGAGUGGUCUAAGGCGCUAGAUUUAGGUCUUUCUAAACUCUAGUCUUCGGGCGUGGGUUCGAAUCCCACUCUUGUCA